rnacentral:lncRNA from 1 species
ACAACAACAAGAAGCGGCAAGACAACAACAAGAAGCUGCUACUCAACAUCAACAACAACUAAUCCAGCUGCUUCAAGAACAACAAGAAUAUCGGAGGCGAGAAGCGGAGGCUCGAGAGCGUUCAGAAGCUAAUCUUCAGGACCUUCUUCGGACGACUGGAGAGGCUCGAGAGCGUUCAGAAAAUAAUCUUCAGGACCUUCUUCGGACGACUGUGGCAGCUCUUCAAAUUUAAUUCGCCUGUUCAACAAAAACAUGUCUUUUUGAUAAAACAUAAAAAGUCUAAUCUGCUCAGUGAAAAUUUUAAAUAGUCGCAGUAUUCUAACUGUGCAAAGGUAGCAUAAUAAUUUGUUCUUUAAUUUAGGACUGGGAUGAAUGAUUUGACGAGAUUAAGACUGUCUUAUAAUUAUUAAUUAUUGAAUUUAAUUUUUGAGUUAAAAAGCUUAAAUUUUAUUAGAGGACGAGAAGACCCUAUAGAGUUUUAUAAUUAAAUUUAUUUUAUUAAUUAAUUUAUUUUUAUGAAAUAAAUAUAAUUAUUUUGUUGGGGUGAUAAUUAAAUUUAAUAAACUUUUUAUUUUGUUUUACAUUAAUUAAUGAAUUUUUGAUCCUAUAUUUCAGAUUAUUAGAUUAAAUCACCUUAGGGAUAACAGCGUUAUUUUUUUUAAAGUUCUUAUUGACAUAAAAAAUUGCGACCUCGAUGUUGGAUUAAAAUUUAUUUUGGGUGUAGAAGCUUAAAAAUUUAGGUCUGUUCGACCUUCAAAAUUUUACAUGAUCUGAGUU